GAGGUCGUUAUGUUAAAGUCUGGGACAUGUUAAAAGGAGGACAAUUGCUAGUAUCUUUGAAAAAUCAUCACAAAACCGUGACAUGUUUAUGUCUAAGCAGCUCUGGACAGAGGUUACUCUCUGGCUCACUGGAUAGGAAGGUGAAAGUAUAUAGCACAACUUCCUACAAAGUAGUCCACAGUUUUGAUUAUGCAGCUUCAAUUUUGAGUCUUGCCCUUGCACAUGAAGAUGAGACAAUAGUUGUAGGAAUGACCAAUGGAAUACUGAGUGUUAAACAUCGGAAAUCUGAAGCAAAGAAGGAAUCACUUCCCAGAAGAAGAAGGCCUGCAUAUCGAACCUUUAUUAAAGGAAAAAAUUACAUGAAGCAACGGGUAUUUGUGCAUUUCUCAUAUUUGUUUAAAGGGUGAAAUUUGUUAGAGUAGCCAGCUUCAUCCCUGCACAUUACUGGAAAGCGUAGUUCACAUGGCACUUUAUUUUGCUUUUCUCUACAUCAGAAUUAUUUCUAGAUUGCUAGAUUGGGGACAUUAUUGAUGAGUAAUGGGGAACAAGGACUACUUUAUGUAAUACUCUGCAUCAUAACAUAAUGUUAUAAUGCUUUACUGCAUUCAAAAUAAUGUCUUUCACAUACUACCUGAUUUGAUCUAAAUCCCAAGAAGUAGUAGAACCAAUCAUGUCCCUGUUUGGCAUCUGAGAAGAUUGAGCGACAAAUAAUUUGUGAUUGAUUCAGGAUUUCAUUACUGGUAUCCAGAGUUGUUGAGACUAGAUCUCAUUAUCUCUGAUUG
rnacentral:sRNA from 1 species